rnacentral:misc_RNA from 1 species
AACGCACCUUGCGCUCUCUGGUAUUCCGGAGAGUACGCCUGUUCGAGUGUCAUGAAACUCUCAGGCAGAGAUAGCUUUGUUGCUGUUUUUGUUUGGAUUUGGACUUUGCUGUGCCAAUGCGGCUGGUCUUAAAUGUAUUAGCUGGUCCUAAUAUGGGGGUUUUGGUUCUACUCAGCGUGAUAAUUAUCUGACGCUGAGGACAGUCUUAGGACUGGCCAGAGCUUAUGUUUGGAUUGCUUCUAAUUGUCCCUUGGACAUACUGUUCAAUUGUCUGACCUCGGAUCAGGUGGGAUUACCCGCUGAACUUAA